rnacentral:rRNA from 1 species
CCAAUAGCGUAUAUUAAAGUUGUUGUGGUUAAAAAGCUCGUAGUUGAACCUUGGGCCUGGCUGGCCGGUCCGCCUCACCGCGUGUACUGGUCCGGCCGGGCCUUUCCCUCUGUGGAACCCCAUGCCCUUCACUGGGUGUGGCGGGGAAACAGGGCUUUUACUUUGAAAAAAUUAGAGUGCUCCAGGCAGGCCUAUGCUCGAAUACAUUAGCAUGGAAUAAUAACAUAGGACGUGUGGUUCUAUUUUGUUGGUUUCUAGGAACGCCGUAAUGAUUAAUAGGGACAGGCGGGGGCAUCAGUAUUCAAUUGUCAGACGUGAAAUUCUUGGAUUUAUUGAAGACUAACUACUGCGAAAGCAUUUGCCAAGGAUGUUGUCAUUAAUCAGGAACGAAAGUUAGGGGAUCGAAGACGUUCAGAUACCGUCGUAGUCUUAACCAUAAACUAUGCCGACUAGGGAUCGGACGAUGUUAUUUUUUGACUCGUUCGGCACCUUACG